rnacentral:ribozyme from 12 species
GAAGGGAGAAGAAAUGGUUGGAUCACAUAGGCAAUUUCAUGGAGUAGUUUUGUGGUUUCCCUUCCUUUCUUUCCUUCCCUUUCGCUCUUUCUUUCUCCUUCUCCUAU